GCGCCCGUAGCUCAGUUGGAUAGAGCGACGGUUUCCUAAACCGUAGGCCGUAGGUUCAAAUCCUACCGGGCGUACCA
rnacentral:tRNA from 1 species